UACGGAGGGUGCAAGCGUUAUCCGGAUUCACUGGGUUUAAAGGGUGCGUAGGCGGAUAGGUAAGUCCGUGGUGAAAUCCUGCAGCUUAACUGCAGAACUGCCGUGGAUACUAUCUAUCUUGAAUAUCGUGGAGGUUAGCGGAAUAUGUCAUGUAGCGGUGAAAUGCUUAGAUAUGACAUAGAACACCCAUUGCGAAGGCAGCUAACUACGCGAUCAUUGACGCUGAUGCACGAAAGCGUGGGGAUCGAAACAGGAUU
rnacentral:rRNA from 1 species